UCUGGCGUCAGGACGAACGCUGGCGGCGUGCUUAAUACAUGCAAGUCGAACGGAGAUAUUCCGCCGUUCAAGGUUUCGGCUGAGAACAUGGGAUAUCUUAGUGGCGAACGGGUGAGUAACGCGUGAACAACCUGACUCAAAGAGGGGGAUAACAACGGGAAACUGUUGCUAAUACCGCAUAAGACCACGCCCUCGCAUGGGGGAGGGGUAAAAGAUUUAUCGCUUUGAGAGGGGUUCGCGUCCCAUUAGGUAGUUGGAGGGGUAACGGCCCACCAAGCCGACGAUGGGUAGCCGAGCUGAGAGGCUGAUCGGCCACACUGGAACUGAGACACGGUCCAGACUCCUACGGGAGGCAGCAGUAGGGAAUAUUGGGCAAUGGGCGCAAGCCCUGACCCAGCAACGCCGCGUGAGGGAAGAAGGUUUUCGGAUUGUAGACCUCUGUCCUAUGUGACGAAGGAAGUGACGGUAGCAUAGGAGGAAGCCCCGGCUAACUACGUGCCAGCCGCCGC
rnacentral:rRNA from 1 species